GGAAACUCGGAUUCAAGACCAUGUCAAAUCAAACUCUGCCGCACUCUUCAAUCGAGAGAUUUCAAUCCCAUCCUUGGAGUCGUUGACAAUGGAAGAACUUCCCAAUCUAAAAGAAAUAUGGAGCAAUCAAUCUCUAUUGGGGCUAAGCAAUCUUCGAUCUCUUAAAGUGGUGCAGUGCAAAUCUUUGUCAAAGGUUAUUAGCUUUGAGUCGCUGGUAAAACUACAAAAGUUACACACUUUAAGCAUAUCAUAUUGCCAUUCGGUGCAAGAAAUUUUCAAUCUUGAUAGACCAAGCACUAGUGAAGAUGUUGAGACUCUGUCUGAGUUGACCACCUUUGAUUUAAGGGGAUUGGUGAGCUUGAGGCGCAUAUGGAACAUGAAUCCUUGUGGAAUAGUGAGUUUCCAUAAUUUAAAGAAGUUGGAGGUGCAUGAUUGUCCCAACCUUAGGUUUAUGUUUUUCCCAACCAUGGUUAAAUCUCUUGAACACUUGAGAGAUCUAACGGUACAACAUUGCAAGAAAAUGGAAGCAAUCAUUUUGGAGGAAGAAGGGUUGGGAUUGGAAACAUCAAAAACUUUGGCAUUUCCGAUGUUAACCAACUUAAACUUACAACGUUUGGAAAGUUUGAUGUGCUUCUCUUGUGGAAAGCGUAAGAUUGAUUUAUUUUGUUCUCCUCA